AUGCAAGUCGAACGAGCGAGAGAGAGCUUGCUUUCUCAAGCGAGUGGCGAACGGGUGAGUAACGCGUGAGGAACCUGCCUCAAAGAGGGGGACAACAGUUGGAAACGACUGCUAAUACCGCAUAAGCCCACGACCCGGCAUCGGGUAGAGGGAAAAGGAGCAAUCCGCUUUGAGAUGGCCUCGCGUCCGAUUAGCUAGUUGGUGAGGUAAUGGCCCACCAAGGCGACGAUCGGUAGCCGGACUGAGAGGUUGAACGGCCACAUUGGGACUGAGACACGGCCCAGACUCCUACGGGAGGCAGCAGGGGGGAAUAUUGCACAAUGGGGGAAACCCUGAUGCAGCGACGCCGCGUGGAGGAAGAAGGUCUUCGGAUUGUAAACUCCUGUUGUUGAGGAAGAUAAUGACGGUACUCAACAAGGAAGUGACGGCUAACUACGUGCCAGCAGCCGCGGUAAAACGUAGGUCACAAGCGUUGUCCGGAAUUACUGGGUGUAAAGGGAGCGCAGGCGGGAAGACAAGUUGGAAGUGAAAUCCAUGGGCUCAACCCAUGAACUGCUUUCAAAACUGUUUUUCUUGAGUAGUGCAGAGGUAGGCGGAAUUCCCGGUGUAGCGGUGGAAUGCGUAGAUAUCGGGAGGAACACCAGUGGCGAAGGCGGCCUACUGGGCACCAACUGACGCUGAGGCUCGAAAGUGUGGGUAGCAAACAGGAUUAGAUACCCUGGUAGUCCACACUGUAAACGAUGAUUACUAGGUGUUGGAGGAUUGACCCCUUCAGUGCCGCAGUUAACACAAUAAGUAAUCCACCUGGGGAGUACGACCGCAAGGUUGAAACUCAAAGGAAUUGACGGGG
rnacentral:rRNA from 1 species